AACGAACGCUGGCGGCAUGCCUAACACAUGCAAGUCGAACGAGACCUUCGGGUCUAGUGGCGCACGGGUGCGUAACGCGUGGGAACCUGCCCUUAGGUUCGGAAUAACUCCCCGAAAGGGGUGCUAAUACCGGAUAAUGUCUUCGGACCAAAGAUUUAUCGCCUUUGGAUGGGCCCGCGUUGGAUUAGCUAGUUGGUAGGGUAAAAGCCUACCAAGGCGACGAUCCAUAGCUGGUCUGAGAGGAUGAUCAGCCACACUGGGACUGAGACACGGCCCAGACUCCUACGGGAGGCGGCAGUGGGGAAUAUUGGACAGUGGGCGAAAGCCUGAUCCAGCAAUGCCGCGUGAGUGAUGAAGGCCUUAGGGUUGUAAAGCUCUUUUACCCGGGAUGAUAAUGACAGUACCGGGAGAAUAAGCUCCGGCUAACUCCGUG
rnacentral:rRNA from 1 species